rnacentral:rRNA from 1 species
UACGGAGGGGGCUAGCGUUGUUCGGAAUUACUGGGCGUAAAGCGCGCGUAGGCGGCUUAGCAAGUUAGAGGUGAAAGCCCGAAGCUCAACUUCGGAAUUGCCUUUAAAACUGCAAAGCUAGAAUCAUGGAGAGGUGAGUGGAAUUCCGAGUGUAGAGGUGAAAUUCGUAGAUAUUCGGAAGAACACCAGUGGCGAAGGCGACUCACUGGACAUGUAUUGACGCUGAGGUGCGAAAGCGUGGGAGCAAACAGG